GUAGGCUGCAACUCGCCUACAUGAAGUCGGAGUUGCUAGUAAUCGCGGAUCAGAAUGCCGCGGUGAAUGCGUUCCCGGGUCUUGUACACACCGCCCGUCACACCAUGGAAGUUGGGGGCGCCCGAAGUUGCCUAAGAAAUAAGGUACCUAAGGCGAAACCAAUGACUGGGGUGAAGUCGUAACAAGGUAGC
rnacentral:rRNA from 1 species